UAAUGGGACUACGCGGUGUUGCAUCUAUC
rnacentral:piRNA from 1 species